rnacentral:rRNA from 1 species
CUGCUAUCGGAUUGAUACUAAGCCAUGCGAGUCAUUGUAGCAAUACAAGGCAUACGGCUCAGUAACGCGUAGUCAACCUAACCUAUGGACGGGAAUAACCUCGGGAAACUGAGAAUAAUGCCCGAUAGAACAUUAUGCCUGGAAUGGUUUAUGUUCCAAAUGAUUUAUCGCCGUAGGAUGGGACUGCGGCCUAUCAGUUUGUUGGUGAGGUAAUGGCCCACCAGGACUAUUACAGGUACGGGCUCUGAGAGGAGUAGCCCGGAGAUGGGUACUGAGACACGGACCCAGGCCCUAUGGGGCGCAGCAGGCGAGAAAACUUUGCAAUGUGCGAAAGCACGACAAGGUUAAUCCGAGUGGUUUCUGCUAAAGGAACCUUUUGUCAGUCCUAGAAACACUGAUGAAUAAGGGGUGGGCAAGUUCUGGUGUCAGCCGCCGCGGUAAAACCAGCACCUCAAGUGGUCAGGAUGAUUAUUGGGCCUAAAGCAUCCGUAGCCCGGCUCUGUAAGUUUUCGGUUAAAUCUGUACGCUCAACGUACAGGCUGCCGGGAAUACUGCAAAGCUAGGGAGUGGGAGGGGUAGACGGUACUCGGUAGGAAGGGGUAAAAUCCUUUGAUCUAUUGAUGACCACCUGUGGCGAAGGCGGUCUACCAGAACACGUCCGACGGUGAGGGAUGAAAGCUGGGGGAGCAAACCGGAUUAGAUACCCGGGUAGUCCCAGCUGUAAACCAUGCAAACUCAGUGAUGCAUUGGCUUGUGGCCAAUGCAGUGCUGCAGGGAAGCCGUUAAGUUUGCCGCCUGGGAAGUACGUACGCAAGUAUGAAACUUAAAGGAAUUGGCGGGGGAGCACCACAAGGGGUGAAGCCUGCGG